rnacentral:rRNA from 1 species
ACCAGACUCCUACGGGAGGCAGCAGUGGGGGAUAUUGCACAAUGGGGGGAACCCUGAUGCAGCGACGCCGCGUGGGUGAAGAAGCGCCUCGGCGCGUAAAGCCCUGUCAGCAGGGAAGAAAAUGACGGUACCUGAAGAAGAAGCCCCGGCUAACUACGUGCCAGCAGCCGCGGUAAUACGUAGGGGGCAAGCGUUAUCCGGAUUUACUGGGUGUAAAGGGGGCGCAGACGGCGAUGCAAGCCAGGAGUGAAAGCCCGGGGCCCAACCCCGGGACUGCUCUUGGAACUGCGUGGCUGGAGUGCAGGAGGGGCAGGCGGAAUUCCUGGUGUAGCGGUGAAAUGCGUAGAUAUCAGGAGGAACACCGGUGGCGAAGGCGGCCUGCUGGACUGCAACUGACGUUGAGGCCCGAAAGCGUGGGGAGCAAACAGGAUUAGAUACCCCUGUAU